rnacentral:rRNA from 2 species
UUAAAUUGAAGAGUUUGAUCAUGGCUCAGAUUGAACGCUGGCGGCAGGCCUAACACAUGCAAGUCGAACGGUAACAGGAAGCAGCUUGCUGCUUUGCUGACGAGUGGCGGACGGGUGAGUAAUGUCUGGGAAACUGCCUGAUGGAGGGGGAUAACUACUGGAAACGGUGGCUAAUACCGCAUAACGUCGCAAGACCAAAGAGGGGGACCUUCGGGCCUCUUGCCAUCAGAUGUGCCCAGAUGGGAUUAGCUU